AUUGAACGCUGGCGGCAGGCCUAACACAUGCAAGUCGAGCGAGCGGCGGACGGGUGAGUAAUGUAUGGGGAUCUGCCUGAUGGAGGGGGAUAACUACUGGAAACGGUAGCUAAUACCGCAUACCAUCAGAUGACCCCAUAUGGGAUUAGCUUGUAGGUGAGGUAACGGCUCACCUAGGCGACGAUCCCUAGCUGGUCUGGGAGGAUGACCAGCCACCCUGGUACUGGGGCACGGCCCAGACUCCUACGGGAGGCAGCAGUGGGGAAUAUUGCACAAUGGGCGCAAGCCUGAUGCAGCCAUGCCGCGUGUAUGAAGAAGGCCUUCGGGUUGUAAAGUACUUUCAGUCGGGAGGCUUUACCGACAGAAGAAGCACCGGCUAACUCCGUGCCAGCAGCCGCGGUAAUUC
rnacentral:rRNA from 1 species